rfam:TPA: Aspergillus nidulans FGSC A4 chromosome V
UUCGAAGAUGAAGCGGCACUGGGCUCCGACGGCGUUCGACAGACGUCCGGUCUUGACGGAUAAGCCAUUUUGCGGCAGGCCUAGAAAACCUCGCCCACUGAGA